rnacentral:rRNA from 1 species
GACGAACGCUGGCGGCGUGCUUAACACAUGCAAGUCGAACGAUGAAGCCUUAGCUUGCUUUGGUGGAUUAGUGGCGAACGGGUGAGUAACACGUGAGCAACGUGCCCAGGACUCUGGAAUAACCGCGGGAAACCGUGGCUAAUACCGGAUAGGUGCCGAGGCCGCAUGGUCUUCGGUUGGAAAGUUUUUGCGGUUCUGGAUCGGCUCACGGCCUAUCAGCUUGUUGGUGGGGUAAUGGCCUACCAAGGCGACGACGGGUAGCCGGCCUGAGAGGGUGACCGGCCACACUGGGACUGAGACACGGCCCAGACUCCUACGGGAGGCAGCAGUGGGGAAUAUUGCACAAUGGGCGCAAGCCUGAUGCAGCAACGCCGCGUGGGGGAUGACGGCCUUCGAGUUGUAAACCUCUUUUAGUAGGGAAGAAGCGCAAGUGACGGUACCUGCAGAAAAAGCACCGGCUAACUACGUG